rnacentral:rRNA from 1 species
CCUCCACCGAAUGCCUAAGGUUUCCUGAGGAAGGCUCGUCCGCUCAGGGUUAGUCGGGACCUAAGCCGAGGCCGAAAGGCGUAGGCGAUGGACAACAGGUUGAUAUUCCUGUACCACCUCCUCACCAUUUGAGCAAUGGGGGGACGCAGGAGGAUAGGGUAAGCGCGGUAUUGGAUAUCCGCGUCCAAGCAGUUAGGCUGGGAAAUAGGCAAAUCCGUUUCCAUAAGGCUGAGCUGUGAUGGCGAGCGAAAUAUAGUAGCGAAGUUCCUGAUUCCACACUGCCAAGAAAAGCCUCUAGCGAGGUGAGAGGUGCCCGUACCGCAAACCGACACAGGUAGGCGAGGAGAGAAUCCUAAGGUGAUCGAGAGAACUCUCGUUAAGGAACUCGGCAAAAUGACCCCGUAACUUCGGGAGAAGGGGUGCUCUGUUAGGGUGCAAGCCCGAGAGAGCCGCAGUGAAUAGGCCCAGGCGACUGUUUAGCAAAAACACAGGUCUCUGCGAAGCCGUAAGGCGGAGUAUAGGGGCUGACGCCUGCCCGGUGCUGGAAGGUUAAGAGGAGCGCUUAGCGUAAGCGAAGGUGCGAAUUGAAGCCCCAGUAAACGGCGGCCGUAACAAUAACGGUCCUAAGGUAGCGAAAUUCCUUGUCGGGUAAGUUCCGACCCGCACGAAAGGCGCAACGAUCUGGGCACUGUCUCAACGAGAGACUCGGUAAAAUUAUAGUACCUGUGGAGAUGCAGGUUACCCGCGACAGGACGGAAGGACCCCGUGGAGCUUUACUGCAGCCUGAUAUUGAAUGUUGGUACAGCUUGUACAGGAUAGGUAGGAGCCUUGGAAACCGGAGCGCCAGCUUUGGUGGAGGCAUCGGUGGGAUACUACCCUGGCUGUAUUGACCUUCUAACCCGCCGCCCUUAUCGGGCGGGGAGACAGUGUCAGGUGGGCAGUUUGACUGGGGCGGUCGCCUCCUAAAAGGUAACGGAGGCGCCCAAAGGUUCCCUCAGAAUGGUUGGAAAUCAUUCGCAGAGUGUAAAGGCACAAGGGAGCUUGACUGCGAGACCUACAAGUCGAGCAGGGACGAAAGUCGGGCUUAGUGAUCCGGUGGUUCCGCAUGGAAGGGCCAUCGCUCAACGGAUAAAAGCUACCCCGGGGAUAACAGGCUUAUCUCCCCCAAGAGUCCACAUCGACGGGGAGGUUUGGCACCUCGAUGUCGGCUCAUCGCAUCCUGGGGCUGUAGUCGGUCCCAAGGGUUGGGCUGUUCGCCCAUUAAAGCGGUACGCGAGCUGGGUUCAGAACGUCGUGAGACAGUUCGGUCCCUAUCCGUCGCGGGCGCAGGGAAUUUGAGAGGAGCUGUCCUUAGUACGAGAGGACCGGGAUGGACGCACCGCUGGUGUACCAGUUGUUCUGCCAAGGGCAUUGCUGGGUAGCUAUGUGCGGACGGGAUAAGUGCUGAAAGCAUCUAAGCAUGAAGCCCCCCUCAAGAUGAGAUUUCCCAUUCCGCAAGGAAGUAAGAUCCCUGAAAGAUGAUCAGGUUGAUAGGUCUGAGGUGGAAGUGUGGCGACACAUGGAGCUGACAGAUACUAAUCGAUC